UACGUGAGGGGCGAACGUUGUUCGGUGUCACUGGGCUUAAAGGGUGCGUAGGUGGUUGCGUAAGUAACGUGUGAAAUCCCUCGGCUUACCCGGGGAAUUGCGCGUUAUACUGCGUGACUUGAGGAUUUCAGGGGAAUGGGGAACUCCAGGUGUAGCGGUGAAAUGCGUAGAUAUGCGGAGGAACACCGAUGGCGAAGGCAGUCCCCUGGGCCUGUACUGACGCUCAUGCACGAAAGCGUGGGGAGCAAACAGG
rnacentral:rRNA from 1 species